rnacentral:pre_miRNA from 1 species
AGGAGGUGGCCAAGGGAACCUGAGAAGGUGCACAAAGGUUUGUGUCCAAUACGCUCCACACCUUGUGCUACUCAGGUCCACUCAUGCCCUCCC